ensembl:lncRNA
UUGCUUCACUCUCAGCAUUCAGAAUAGGAUGUAAUUUUGUUUCACUUGGCCUGGCUUCUAAUUCAACAACAUCCCUAAUAUUAUCUGAAAUCUGUAAGGAGGAACUAAGCUCCUCAGCAGUACAGAUUUGCACCUUCAGACUUCAGAGGCUCUCCAGUAUGUGCCUUGGGUAUUGUCAAGAGAGAGUGUAAGCUUGUUUUUCCAAGUUCUGCCUCACCCAGCCCCCACUUGGGUCUAAUUGUAAAGUGCAUCUGCAUGUUUUAAAAGCUCAUUAUGUAAAUGUAUCACAGUCCAUAUCCAUCAACAGAUAAUUAAGAGACUAUAUACAUAUGUAUGAGUUGGCUUAAUAUUGCUUUAAUGAGGAGGUUUACUAGAAAUACCAAAUCAAGGAGGCAAGAAGAAAAAUGAUCAUAAUAAAAAUGAGUACAAGUUUCCAGCAGUUCCUGGUAGUCCUGAGAGCUGCAGGAACACUCAAAGGGCACCUCACGUUUCCUCCUUGCCCACCAUAAAUGGGAGGAAGAAACUUGGAAAGAAGUGUUGCUCAACACAUCUUUGAAAAUAAGGUUAUACUUUUUAUUUUAUUCCAAAUUAAAGAUUUUAGAGGAGCCAGAGUCUCAUGUUUUCACCACCUGUAAAAGCAAGGUCAUGGCAGGGAAGUGGUCAGAAGUCUGACGUGGCAACCCCCCGGUCGAUGCCAAAACUGCAGAGAUGGAGACACCAGACUGGCCUAUUAGUGCCAGGCCACGUGCCAGGUGAGCAGAGCAUGAGCGAGGAUUUAGCCUUUGCUUACUCUCUCAGCAAGGCUUCUUGUCCAGCACACAAUCCAUACAACUGCAACAGCAGGCCUUUCUAGAAAAUUCCAAAGGAGUGACUCCCACCAAGAACUGGCCCGAGUCCGUAGAAACAGAGGACCCUUCCCCCAUUCUACCUAUCAACUUGUCCCUUUGGUUUACUCAACGGCAGCUCAACCCCACCUUUGGGACCCCUCUACCAGCCCUCUCUUCUCCGCUCAUACGCAGUUCAUUGGCCAAGACUCAGUCAGGUGGCUGUACCGAGUUACAGAGGAAGCUGGGCAUUGUGGUCUCGCUGGGUGACCAGAUGUGGCUCCCUGCGAUCUGGUGACUAGGGAAUUUGAAGGCUGGUCAUUUGCCUGUCCCAUUUCCCACACAUCGGAGGAGUAGGGACAGGAAGCUAGCUCCCCUUCAGUGAAGAGAAGGAUGGCACUCCUUGACCACGGCAGUUCUGGUUUCUUGACUUGAUCUAAUUCUAGCCUCUGGAAAACACCGCCUUGUCUAUCAUCCCCCGG